CUGGAGAAGAUCAGUCAGAGAAUGUUACCUUAGAAGAGAAUCUGACAUAACAUAAAAGCAAAUUGAGAAGCUCUCGAGGUUGCUGCUAACCUUGUAUAUAACACAAGGGAAUUGAUGAUAUUUUACUGAAGGUUCCAUACAUCAGAAGACUUGCUAUAUCGGAUAUUAGCUAUGAAUUUGUUGGCAAAAUUUAGAACGGAUGUACAUAGGACUAGGUAGAAUAUGAUAUUUUGAUGUAACAUUGUAAACUGUCUACUCUUCAAAUAAUUUUCA